AUUGAACGCUGGCGGCGUGCCUAACACAUGCAAGUCGAGCGGUAACAGGUGUAGCAAUACAUGCUGACGAGCGGCGGACGGGUGAGUAACGCUUGGGAAUCUGCCUAUUAGUGGGGGACAACCCGGGGAAACGUCGGGCUAAUACCGCAUACGCUCUACGGAGGAAAGCCGGGGACCGCAAGGCCUGGCGCUAAUAGAUGAGCCCAAGUCGGAUUAGCUAGUUGGUAGGGUAANGGCCUACCAAGGCGACGAUCCGUAACUGGUCUGAGAGGACGACAGUCACACCGGAACUGAGACACGGUCCGGACUCCUACGGGAGGCAGCAGUGGGGAAUAUUGGACAAUGGGCGAAAGCCUGAUCCAGCGACGCCGCGUGGGUGAAGAA
rnacentral:rRNA from 1 species